rnacentral:snRNA from 1 species
GUGCUCAUUUUGACAGCACAUAGACUAAAAUUGGAACAAGACAGAGAAGAUGAGCAUGGCCCCUGAGUAAGGAUGACAUAAAAAUUCACUGUUAUAUAUUUUU